rnacentral:tRNA from 1 species
UAUAGCUCAGUGGUAGAGUGCGUGCUUAGCACGCAUAAGAUCUUGGGUUCAAUUCCCAGUA